rnacentral:rRNA from 1 species
AAGCAAACUUAUACCGUGAAACUGCGAAUGGCUCAUUAAAUCAGUUAUCGUUUAUUUGAUAGUACCUACUUACUUGGAUAACCGUGGUAAUUCUAGAGCUAAUACAUGCUAAAAACCUCGACUUCGGAAGGGGUGUAUUUAUUAGAUAAAAAACCAAUGCCCUUCGGGGCUCCCUGGUGAUUCAUAAUAACUAAACGAAUCGCAUGGCCUUGCGCCGGCGAUGGUUCAUUCAAAUUUCUGCCCUAUCAACUUUCGAUGGUAGGAUAGUGGCCUACCAUGGUGGCAACGGGUAACGGGGAAUUAGGGUUCUAUUCCGGAGAGGGAGCCUGAGAAACGGCUACCACAUCCAAGGAAGGCAGCAGGCGCGCAAAUUACCCAAUCCCGACACGGGGAGGUAGUGACAAUAAAUACUGAUGUGGAGCUCUUUAGGGUUUCACAAUUGGAAUGAGAAAAAUCUAAACCACUUAAACGAGGAACAAUUGGAGGGCAAGUCUGGUGCCAGCAGCCGCGGUAAUUCCAGCUCCAAUAGCGUAUAUUAAAGUUGUUGCAGUUAAAAAGCUCGUAGUUGAACCUUGGGCCUGGCCGGCCGGUCCGCCUCACCGCGUGCACUGGUUCGGCCGGGCCUUUCCUCCUGGGGAACCGCAUGCCCUUUACUGGGUGUGCCGGGGAAUCAGGACUUUUACUUUGAAAAAAUUAGAGUGUUCAAAGCAGGCAUUUGCUCGAAUACAUUAGCAUGGAAUAAUAGAAUAGGACGUUGUGGUUCUAUUUUGUUGGUUUCUAGGACCGCCGUAAUGAUAAUUAGGGACGA